GCGUGGAAUCUCCACCAAGGUGACCUUCCAUCCGAGAUGGAGAGCUGCUUACAUACACAUGCAAGCUAUUCAGGGGACCGCAUGAAAUCCUUCCCCCAUCCCUCUUCUUUAUAGCUUCAGAUUCAAUGUGAGCGUCCAACAAACGCUCCGUGUUCAGACAUCAUCUCAUGUGUUUCGCAUUAACUUUCACUUAUUUCUUACAUCUUCUGCCAGAUCGCUCACAAAGAGCAAAAAC